ACGAGCAAGAGAGACAGAGAGAGAGAGAGAGAGAGAGAUAAAUGGAGACUAUGGCGAGACCAACGAAGAGACAUCCUCUGAUUUAGUUAAACAUUUAGUCAGCAGCUAAUUAUGAAUAAUUAGUUGGCAUGGCACUCUGUGUCGCCGCUUUCACUCUCUCUCUCUCUCACUCACUCUCUCUCCUCCCUUCUCUCUCUCUAUCU
rnacentral:miRNA from 1 species